rnacentral:rRNA from 1 species
GCGUGAGUGAUGAAGGCCUUCGGGUUGUAAAACUCUUUCGACGGGGACGAUAAUGACGGUACCCGUAGAAGAAGCUCCGGCUAACUUCGUGCCAGCAGCCGCGGUAAUACGAAGGGGGCUAGCGUUGUUCGGAAUUACUGGGCGUAAAGCGCGCGCAGGCGGCUAUCCAAGUCAGUGGUGAAAGCCCGGAGCUCAACUCCGGAACUGCCAUUGAAACUGUUUAGCUUGAGGAUGAGAGAGGUGAGUGGAAUUCCCAGUGUAGAGGUGAAAUUCGU